rnacentral:rRNA from 1 species
GAUGAACGCUGGCGGCGUGCCUAAUACAUGCAAGUCGAGCGAACAGACGAGGAGCUUGCUCCUCUGACGUUAGCGGCGGACGGGUGAGUAACACGUGGAUAACCUACCUAUAAGACUGGGAUAACUUCGGGAAACCGGAGCUAAUACCGGAUAAUAUAUUGAACCGCAUGGUUCAAUAGUGAAAGACGGUUUUGCUGUCACUUAUAGAUGGAUCCGCGCCGCAUUAGCUAGUUGGUAAGGUAACGGCUUACCAAGGCGACGAUGCGUAGCCGACCUGAGAGGGUGAUCGGCCACACUGGAACUGAGACACGGUCUAGACUCCUACGGGAGGCAGCAGUAGGGAAUCUUCCGCAAUGGGCGAAAGCCUGACGGAGCAACGCCGCGUGAGUGAUGAAGGUCUUCGGACCGUAAAACUCUGUUAUUAGGGAAGAACAAAUGUGUAAGUAACUAUGCACGUCUUGACGGUACCUAAUCAGAAAGCCACGGCUAACUACGUG